rnacentral:lncRNA from 1 species
GGGGAUCGGGCUUGGCCGCUGAGAAGGCGGUGUUGCUGAAGGGAGAGUGAUGGCGGCACCGCCCAAUGGACGUGUGGGUGGAGGGGUCGGCGCACCCGCCCGCACAGGUGGAUGGGUCAGCUCCCCGGGCCCCAGCGUCCCGCCCCGCUGCUGCGUCCCGUCUCUCCCGGCCCGCACCCUCCUCCAGCCCAGCAGUGUGCUGUCCAUCGUCUGGCCGCCAGUCUUUGGCAAAGAGAAGCACUGCCACGGGCGUGUUUGGGCUAAGCCCCCUCCAUUCCGUCUGCGUUGGAGAAAUGUUCCUGGUACCAGAAGGAAUGAAAGGACUGGGACUGGUCUCCAUGGCAACUGGAAGAAAGAGACUAGCUCCCCUGACGAGGAAUAACUUUGGAGUUAUCCAAACUCUGGAAAUUCCAGCUCCUGCAAGAAGCCAUCCCAGAUGGAUCCUACAAGAACUAAGAAUACCUGUAACUAGUCUUCUAAAUCUCAGCACCCAGUGUGGCCUUUCUUUCUACCCCCCACCAAUCUGGUCCUCCUUGACCUGAGAGAGCUUUCAUCCAAGUCUGUGAGUCCUAAUAGAUCAUCCUGAAGAAUCAGAAAUCACCAUCAUCACCAUCAUCACCAUCACCAUCAUCAUCAUCAUCCAGGGCUGCCAAGAUGAAGCCCCAAUAGCAAAACAACACCUGAAAUACGUAUGUAGUUUGUUUGUUUACAGUGUACAGAGUACCUUUACAUGUCCUUUAAUCCUCCCAGCAACACGGAUGAUGAGGCAACUUAACCAGAGGCACACAGCUUAAAAAAUGACAGAACCUGGAUUCCUGAGAAGUUCAGCCACUCUCUGCCUCACAGUAACCAAAAGGCACAAAUUCAGUAAAAUUCCAAUAAGUUACUAGAAGGCUUUUUGUCUUCUUAAAUAAAUACAUGUGUCUUCACUCUUUGGUGUGAUCU